rnacentral:tRNA from 1 species
UGACCCAUGGUGUAAUGGUAACACAGCAGAUUUUGGUUCUGUCGUUCAAGGUUCGAGUCCUUGUGGGUCAA